ACUUCUUCUCGCACCACCCGGAGAGCUUGCACAUGUUCACUUUUCUCUUUGAUGACAUUGGUGUUCCUUUGAACUACCGUCACAUGGAUGGCUCUGGUGUCCAUACUUUCACGCUCAUCAGCAGGGAAGGGAAAGCUACCUACGUUAAGUUCCACUGGAGACCUACAUGUGGAGUCAAGAGUUUGCUGGAGGAAGAGGCUGUGAUUGUAGGAGGCAAUAACCACAGCCAUGCCACCCAGGAUCUCUAUGACUCCAUCGCUGCUGGGAACUAUCCAGAGUGGAAGCUAUUCAUCCAGACCAUGGACCCUGAUCACGAGGAUAGGUUCGAUUUUGACCCACUUGAUGUCACCAAGACAUGGCCGGAAGACAUCUUUCCUCUUCAGCCGGUUGGGCGCAUGGUCCUGAAUAAGAAC
rnacentral:lncRNA from 1 species